rnacentral:lncRNA from 1 species
UUUUUUUAUUUUUAUGUGCCCCAGUUGGCUGUUCUGCUGAUUCUCGAGAUGCAGCUGAGUGAUCUUCUUUUCUUGCUCAAGAAGCCGGGAAAUCUCAUCAGGAAUCCUUUCAACAUCAUCUUCUUCCGCUUCAAAUACAGGGAAUUCAAAAUUGGGAGAUAACGUCUGAUCAUUAGGUUCAAUGGGUUUAAGAAACAACCUGCAUAAUGAUUUAGAGAUGAAAAGCUUUUUGAAAAACAAACAAGACAAUCGUUAUGCAGAUGAAAAGAUUGCUUUUAUUCUUGUUUUUAAGGUUUUUUGUGAUCACCAAUUUCAUGCGAAAAGCGAAAAGGGAAAACAAAUGGAAAAACAAAUGUUUUAACAUGAAUUUAUUUGAAUGAAAAUAUCAUUGCACAAAAUGUUGCCAACAAUGUCAUCACUUCUCCUUUUGGCAUGGGAAAAGGGUUUUUUAAACAAAGUGAUUAUUACUCUGACUUGUGAACGACUGUAGGAACGCCCACAGUGACCCAAUUGCGAUAGAUCCUACCAGGGAUGACAAAUGUCAGAAUCCUUUGCAUCAGCAGCUUCUGCUUUUGAACAACCCUCUUUGUUGAAGAUCUUAGAAGAAAAGCCACCGCCGGCCCGGGGCUUGUUGUCUUCAAGCUUGAUUAACACUGGGACCUAAGUCCUCGAAGCUCAGAAUCCCUGAUCUGAC